rnacentral:rRNA from 1 species
GGCUAAUCCUGGUCGGACAUCAGGAGGUUAGUGCAAUGGCAUAAGCCAGCUUGACUGCGAGCGUGACGGCGCGAGCAGGUGCGAAAGCAGGUCAUAGUGAUCCGGUGGUUCUGAAUGGAAGGGCCAUCGCUCAACGGAUAAAAGGUACUCCGGGGAUAACAGGCUGAUACCGCCCAAGAGUUCAUAUCGACGGCGGUGUUUGGCACCUCGAUGUCGGCUCAUCACAUCCUGGGGCUGAAGUAGGUCCCAAGGGUAUGGCUGUUCGCCAUUUAAAGUGGUACGCGAGCUGGGUUUAGAACGUCGUGAGACAGUUCGGUCCCUAUCUGCCGUGGGCGCUGGAGAACUGAGGGGGGCUGCUCCUAGUACGAGAGGACCGGAGUGGACGCAUCACUGGUGUUCGGGUUGUCAUGCCAAUGGC